AUUAUGGUUUGCUUUCGUAACAUACAGACAAAUGUUUGUCCUGUGCAAGCAUUGGUUUAUUUUGCAUGCCGGUCUGUAGGCAAGAAAUAAAUUUUAAAAACUUUAUUGAAAAUAAGAUGAAUCUGAUUUUGAUUUUUGUGGUUCACUGGAAAUAUAGUAUAACUUUUUACUUUUGGGGGGGAUCCGACUCUGUGUUGAAUUCCGAGUGACUGUGUGUCUGUCCCUCCGUCUGCCCUCAGUGCAAAAGAAAUAUAAUUACUAAAUUUGCUCUGUAUAAAUCCUUUAAUCACUUCUACCGACAGUGUGAAAAAAAAAUCGGAUUACAACAUUGCCAGAGACAUUAAAUUUUCCAUCCGAGAUAGUACGAGUGGGCUUUAUAGGAACCGGUGUUAAAUUUGAACGAUGGGCGUUGCACCGCUCACUUUUACGUGGAAACCCGUUACGUAAGAUAAUCUUGGCAUUUCUACAUUACAGUGCGAAAAAGGGGCGAAAUUACUUUCAAGUGUACAAAUCAUGAAGCAAUCAAUUAUGUGCUACCUUACGACCAAAAAUUGACCAAAUCUGACCGAAAUUAUUCAAAUCCCUGACGCCAAAUUUGUGAACUCCAGUUCCUAUUGAGAACUUUUCAUCGAAAAUAUAGGCCAAUUAGUGAGAUAUACCUCGGAGAGAAUCAUUUUCUGAUAAUAUUAUGCUUAUAUGUCAAAAAUGGGUUGAAAUGGAUAAAUAAUUUUCUUAGCCCCAUGUAUGUAUACAUUUUUUGGAACUUUCGAACUUUCAGCUGACUUAAUAAAAUUGAGUGAACGUUUUCUUAUAACGCUGCAUCUUUGUCCCUAUAACAGAUAAAAAAUAUACUAAAUUAUCAUAAUAUGUAUUAAUUCUACUACGCUUAUAACCAAUAUGCCUAAUAUAAGAUUUUCAAACUUCCGGUUGACGUUAUACCGUAUAUAUUUAUGGGUUAAUAUGUAUGCAUACUUAUAUUAGCAAAAUAGUUGUACGAAUAAUAUUGAAUAUACUAUAGUUCAAUGACGAAAAUAUGUGAAUUUAGAGGGACGGAUCCUAAGUAGAACUUUAGGGGGAAACUAUAUAAUUUUGCACUUGAUUAUCGAAUGUUCAUUUGCAGAUUUUUUAAGCUUUUUGUGGUUCAUUGGAAAUAAUGUAUAACUACUAACAUUGGACUGAACUUUUUAACUCCGGAAGAGUUCCCCUACGCCAAGUCCGUGAUAUUAUUCUGUCAUUCCUAUGUAACAGUGCGAAAUUGGGCGAAAUUGGACUGCAACCACGCCAUAUAACACUAUUUUAAAUUAUCAGGAAACAUUUUAUUAGUAUUGGCAUAUUCAUGUAUGAAGCAUUGGCAAAAGUAGAUAAAAUAGGGUCGAUAAUACCCACAUCUCCCAUAUGCUACAUAUGUAUGUAUGUACAAGGUCUGUCGCAAAAGAAACAGAAAUUUUUAAAUAUAACAGUUUCUGGUGGCGCCACCUAUUAAUGGGUAUAUGAAAUAAAAAGUUUGAUCUCUUGUUGACAUUUCGUAAAAAUUUUAAGACAAUUGGAUUACUACAAUCGAUGUUAUCGAUCAAAAAGUGACAGUAGCUUUUGGUCAUCGGUCGUAAUGCAUUUUGAACAAAGAGAAAAUAUUGAAUUUUGUUUUAAACUUGGGAAAACGUUUACUGAAACAUUUCAAAUGAUGAAAAAAGUUUAUGGUGUUCAGUGCCUAUCCCGUAGUAAUGUGCAUGAAUAGUUUAAGCGAUUCCAAGAAAGUCGUGAUGACCGAAAAAAAGUCGUCUUCAGAAGUCAAAAAUAAAGACAAUGCUGAUUUGUUUUUACAAUUCCGAUGGUAUUGUACACCGAGAGUUCGUCCCACCUGGCCAAACGAUUAAUGCUGUGUUUUACCUUGGUGUUAUGAAGCGUCUUUUGUCACGCAUUCGUCCUGCUCGACCACAAUACCGUGCGUCAUCGGUCGACGCAAAUAUGUGGCACCCUGUGAUUUUUACCUACAUAUUUUGAAAACUUCAUUUGCCCAUGAAAGGACACUAGUUUCAGGACAUUUUAGCUAUCCAAAAGGCGACGACCGAUAUUCUCAAGAGCAUUCGGAAAAAUGACCUUAAACACUUAUUUGAAAUGCUAAUUGACCGGGCUAAACGCUGUAUCGAAGCACAAGGAAACUACUACUACAAUAAAAAAAUAUAACUUUUGAAAAAUAUUAAUUUUUUUUUGUUUUUUUUUUUAACUUACGUAAGUAAGAGAGAGAAAAGCUAUCGACAUUCUAAACAUAUUGUAAUGUUAAUUAGCUAGAGGAGGAGAGACGAACGACGCAAUGACGAGUUCAAAUUUUGUUCGUUGUUCGUUGUAUUGCAGGCAUACAAAAUCAUGAAUAUCAUCAACAGUUAACAUCACAAAGUGAAUAUUUUAUAGAGAACAUUUACCUACAUAUUCAUUUAAUUGAAUUUUCAUUGUAUUAUUUAAUUUUUUCUCUUUGCUGUGUUUGUUUCAACCAUAUACAUUUAUGUAAAUAAAUAGAUUGAAUAUUUUGUAACCAAGCAUCAGUACACUAAAUGUGUAUUUAUUGUCUUAUUUCAUUUUCUUUUUUUUCUAUACAUAUUGUAUGUUCAAUUAAGUUUUUAUUUAAGGAAUCGAAUCCUAAAAUAUAUUCCAGCUCUGAAAAAUAAUUCUUUUAUUUUCGAGCUACAAUUUACAAAAUUACUUAAAUCUAUGUGCUUCUGGACGUAAUUUGUGCAUACAGCAAAUCAGUACCAUUGACGUUGCCAAAUACUGCUUGCAAGGCUCUCAUAUGCUCCAUCAAUAUAUGUAUCUGUUGGAUAGAACCAUAAAGUAUUGUGGUACCGUCACCAUCGUCUGCCGGCCAUGCAGAUAUAAUAUAUAAUCCAAAAGCUGGAUGCCAUUGAGACCCGUCUCACUGCAAUUUAAAAGUCCCUAACAAACAAAAAUCAGUGUCUAUUGAAUCGAUUGAAACAAGCGAGUUUCGACUUCGGGAGUAUACGGAUUGUGCGCUCUUCAGUAUGCGUUCCUUAUUCGCAACAUCAAUUGCAAUACGUAGUUCUUCCAAAAAUGCGUCACCGAAGGG